rnacentral:lncRNA from 1 species
GCGUACGCUUCACUUUGUUGCAAAAAUAAAUUGAAGGGAAAUCCCAAGUGACAUUCAACUAGAAUAUAACUGCGGACCAUUUAAAUGUACAUUUUCACAUCAUCUGGACAAGGAGAUGUCUUAUAGCACAAUUUUGAAACAUGCACGACAAUGAGCUUGUAUUGAAACCAUCUCACAUUAUGCAUUAGCAUCAUUCAAAGCUAUCUAUUUAUAUAUAGCCACCAACACACGCUCUAGAUCCCUAAUUUCCAACCCCGAAAUUCUUUUUUUUUUUAAAUUUACUUUCAGGGCCUCAAUUCUACCACAAGUCAGAAAUUUACAAGAAUGUGAUGAAAGGGUUUCCAAUCAUUAGUGACCCUUGUCUUCCUCAUCGAAAUGUAGGCUCUCAAUUCCUUUCAGUGUGGAUUCAUAGUUCUUCACACCAGGGCCAGAUGAAGCAUGUUUAGGAUCUGAUGAUCCAACAAGAGGGGAGAUUCUCUGUCCACUUGAUAUUUUGUGCAUGGUUGCUGGACUAGCCUCAGGCGCUCGAGAACGUGUAGGAUCAGAGUCAUUUCCUACAGUGAAAGUCUCAUGGCUGCCAGACACUAGACCUCGCCGCAAUGAUCCACUUGAUCGUCCCAGGAAAGUGGAGCUUGGCAACUGAAAAAUUGGACGAUUCAUCAUAAUGUGGCAAAAAAGAUCACUUAUCAUAUAUAGCAUAUAUCAAGUUCCAUAUCAACAACUUGAAACACUAUUAUCUUCUUUUGUUUUUCUUGGGACUAAGGAAAUACAGAACUAGAUUCUUUGUCCAAAUCAUCUGAAUUUUGAAGCAAGAGUUAUUUUAGAACUGGCAGAGCACUUCAACAAAACGACAGUUACACACUUGCAC